CGCCGGGAACCGCGCGGCUAUAGGUCGGUGAACUCCGCCAGGGCCGGAAGGCAGCAACGGUAGCUCGAUACUAGGUGCGACGCGAUAUUCCCGGCAUUA
rnacentral:SRP_RNA from 2 species